CGAAAAUGGCCCAGGGAGGGCUGUUUCAGAAAAUGAAAAGUUGAGGGGGUUAAUUGCAAAAUGGCCUAUAUGAGGACUUGGGGGCCUCUUUCUCUCCCUCAGUUGCUCUCUCCCUCUCUCAUACUCUUUCCUCUCUCUCUCUAGAAAGGAAAAGAAAGAGAAGAAGAAAAAGAAGAAGAAGGAGGAGAAGAAAAAGAAGGAGAAAGAGAAGGAGAAGGCUAAGAAGAAGAAGAAGAUCGUCUUCUUCUCUCCUUCCUCAAGCUUGGAGCUUCGUAUAGAGGU
rnacentral:lncRNA from 1 species